rnacentral:rRNA from 1 species
GAUGAACGCUGGCGGCGUGCCUAAUACAUGCAAGUCGAGCGAACAGACGAGGAGCUUGCUCCUCUGACGUUAGCGGCGGACGGGUGAGUAACACGUGGAUAACCUACCUAUAAGACUGGGAUAACUUCGGGAAACCGGAGCUAAUACCGGAUAAUAUAUUGAACCGCAUGGUUCAAUAGUGAAAGACGGUUUUGCUGUCACUUAUAGAUGGAUCCGCGCCGCAUUAGCUAGUUGGUAAGGUAACGGCUUACCAAGGCAACGAUGCGUAGCCGACCUGAGAGGGUGAUCGGCCACACUGGAACUGAGACACGGUCCAGACUCCUACGGGAGGCAGCAGUAGGGAAUCUUCCGCAAUGGGCGAAAGCCUGACGGAGCAACGCCGCGUGAGUGAUGAAGGUCUUCGGAUCGUAAAUCUCUGUUAUUAGGGAAGAACAAAUGUGUAAGUAACUAUGCACGUCUUGACGGUACCUAAUCAGAAAGCCACGGCUAACUACGUG